UAGGUAGCGCCUCGUGAAUUCAUCUCCGGGGGUAGAGCACUGUUUCGGCUAGGGGGCCAUCCCGGCUUACCAACCCGAUGCAAACUGCGAAUACCGGAGAAUGUUAUCACGGGAGACACACGGCGGGUGCUAACGUCCGUCGUGAAGAGGGAAACAACCCAGACCGCCAGCUAAGGUCCCAAAGUCAUGGUUAAGUGGGAAACGAUGUGGGAAGGCCCAGACAGCCAGGAUGUUGGCUUAGAAGCAGCCAUCAUUUAAAGAAAGCGUAAUAGCUCACUGGUCGAGUCGGCCUGCGCGGAAGAUGUAACGGGGCUAAACCAUGCACCGAAGCUGCGGCAGCGACGUUUAUGCGUUGUUGGGUAGGGGAGCGUUCUGUAAGCCU
rnacentral:rRNA from 1 species